rnacentral:rRNA from 1 species
UGGGGAAUAUUGCACAAUGGGGGAAACCCUGAUGCAGCAACGCCGCGUGAGUGAUGACGGUCUUCGGAUUGUAAAGCUCUGUUUUCAGGGACGAUAAUGACGGUACCUGAGGAGGAAGCCACGGCUAACUACGUGCCAGCAGCCGCGGUAAUACGUAGGUGGCAAGCGUUGUCCGGAUUUACUGGGCGUAAAGGGAGCGUAGGUGGAUAUUUAAGUGGGAAGUGAAAUACUCGGGCUUAACCUGGGUGCUGCAUUCCAAACUGGAUAUCUAGAGUGCAGGAGAGGAAAGUAGAAUUCCUAGUGUAGCGGUGAAACGCGUAGAGAUUAGGAAGAAUACCAGUGGCGAAGGCGACUUUCUGGACUGUAACUGACACUGAGGCUCGAAAGCGUGGGGAGCAAACA